rnacentral:rRNA from 1 species
AGAGUUUGAUCAUGGCUCAGGAUGAACGCUAGCUACAGGCUUAACACAUGCAAGUCGAGGGGCAGCAUGUUGGUUGCUUGCAACCAACGAUGGCGACCGGCGCACGGGUGAGUAACGCGUAUCCAACCUACCCUUGUCCAUCGGAUAACCCGUCGAAAGGCGGCCUAACACGAUAUGCGGUUCACAGCAGGCAUCUAACGUGAACGAAAUGUGAAGGAGAAGGAUGGGGAUGCGUCUGAUUAGCUUGUUGGCGGGUAACGCCACAAGGCUACGAUCAGUAGGGGUUCUGAGAGGAAGGUCCCCCANAUUGGAACUGAGACACGGUCCAAACUCCUAGGGAGCA